rnacentral:rRNA from 1 species
AUUCGCCCGCCGCGCGCGGCGGGCGGGGCGGGGGCACGGGGGGCCUACGGGAGGCAGCAGUGGGGAAUAUUGCACAAUGGGCGCAAGCCUGAUGCAGCCAUGCCGCGUGUAUGAAGAAGGCCUUCGGGUCGUAAAGCUCUGUCCUCAAGGAAGAUAAUGACGGUACUUGAGGAGGAAGCCCCGGCUAACUACGUGCCAGCAGCCGCGGUAAUAAUCUCUAGAGGAUCCCC